CAUAGCCAAUAGAAAAAAUUAUUAAUGGUGACGCCUGCUCAAUGAAAAUAGCUGCGGUAACACCUGACCGUGCAAAGGUAGCAUAAUAAAUCGCCCACUAACUACGGGAUGGAAUGAAGGUAGCACGAAGCUCCAACUGUCUCAAAAUUAUAAAAUAUAAAAUAGAAUGUGUGUGUAAAUCCACACUAAAACGGCAAGACGAUAAGACCCUAAGAACUUUAAGUUCUAAGUUUCGUUGGGGCAACGAUCUUUAAAAAAGUAACUAAGAUAAGACCCAUUAAAUAAUUAAUGAUAAUAUAAUAAAAGUUCCUUAGGGAUAACAGCGUUAUAUCGUUUCAAGAGAACCAUCCAAACGAUGUUUGCGACCUCGAU
rnacentral:rRNA from 1 species